GUACUUGCUUUGGCAGCACAUAUACUAAAAUUGGAACAAUACAGAGAAGAUUAGCAUAGCCCCUGAACAAGGGUGACAUGCAAAUUUGUGAAGUGAUCCAGAUUUAA